GAUGAACGCUGGCGGCGUGCCUAAUACAUGCAAGUCGAGCGAACGGACGAGAAGCUUGCUUCUCUGAUGUUAGCGGCGGACGGGUGAGUAACACGUGGAUAACCUACCUAUAAGACUGGGAUAACUUCGGGAAACCGGAGCUAAUACCGGAUAAUAUUUUGAACCGCAUGGUUCAAAAGUGAAAGACGGUCUUGCUGUCACUUAUAGAUGGAUCCGCGCUGCAUUAGCUAGUUGGUAAGGUAACGGCUUACCAAGGCAACGAUGCAUAGCCGACCUGAGAGGGUGAUCGGCCACACUGGAACUGAGACACGGUCCAGACUCCUACGGGAGGCAGCAGUAGGGAAUCUUCCGCAAUGGGCGAAAGCCUGACGGAGCAACGCCGCGUGAGUGAUGAAGGUCUUCGGAUCGUAAAACUCUGUUAUUAGGGAGGAACAUAUGUGUAAGUAACUGUGCACAUCUUGACGGUACCUAAUCAGAAAGCCACGGCUAACUACGUG
rnacentral:rRNA from 1 species